UGGGGAAUAUUGGACAAUGGUGGCAACUCUGAUCCAGCAAUUCUGUGUGUGUGAAGAAGGUUUUAGGACUGUAAAACACUUUUAGUAGGGAAGAAAGAAAUGACGGUACCUACAGAAGAAGCGACGGCUAAAUACGUGCCAGCAGCCGCGGUAAUACGUAUGUCGCGAGCGUUAUCCGGAAUUAUUGGGCUUAAAGGGCAUCUAGGCGGUUAAACAAGUUGAAGGUGAAAACCUGUGGCUCAACCAUAGGCUUGCCUACAAAACUGUAUAACUAGAGUACUGGAAAGGUGGGUGGAACUACACGAGUAGAGGUGAAAUUCGUAGAUAUGUGUAGGAAUGCCGAUGAUGAAGAUAACUCACUGGACAGCAACUGACGCUGAAGUGCGAAAGCUAGGGGAGCAAACAGG
rnacentral:rRNA from 1 species